UACGUAGGGGGCAAGCGUUGUCCGGAUUUAUUGGGCGUAAAGAGCGUGUAGGCGGCCAGGUAGGUCCGUUGUGAAAACUAGAGGCUUAACCUCUAGACGUCGAUGGAAACCAUCUGGCUAGAGUCCGGAAGAGGAGAGCGGAAUUCCUGGUGUAGCGGUGAAAUGCGCAGAUAUCAGGAAGAACACCCGUGGCGAAGGCGGCUCUCUGGGACGGUACUGACGCUGAGGUGCGAAAGCGUGGGGAGCAAACAGG
rnacentral:rRNA from 1 species